rnacentral:lncRNA from 1 species
CCCACUUAAACUGGUGGGAAUGAGAAUUGUUUCUACACUUUUAAAUGCUUUAAGAAGGCCUAUAUUUGAGAACAAGUUUAACCGGUCCCUUACUGUCAUAAAUAAUUCAAUUGAUUGAAAAACCCUCAUCCACGAGCUAUAAUGGGUUUGCUGUAUCGGCAGAUUGAGUGCGAAAUUGAAGGUAAGAACUUGUUUUCCACUAAAAUAAAUUCCGUCCACAUCUCGGCAAUGUUGAAAUCUAACAUCGAUUUACCCUACUAUAGCCAAACGAGAUAGCAACCAAGGGGUUGAACAUCCAACAAAGAUCGAAAUUUAAAUUUUUUGCCAAAGGGGAUUCACCGACUUCACUUGUGAAAGGUAUGUUCGUUGCAAUUAUUCUGAGUUGUAGUGUUUGAAAAUUUGAUUAAUAUUUUUGAAAUGUGUACAAUAUAUUAAGAUAUUCAUCUAUUUAUAAUUUUCUUGCAAAUAUUUUCGAAAUGUGUACAGAAUUUGGCUUUGCCGUGGCAUUGGGAUCUACGAAAUGACAGAGAAAGGUAAUUUCGUCAUAAUUUUUUGAAGUUGCACUAUUGAAAAACCUAUGUAUUUUCACUGCUUCUGUAAUUUCUUGUUUCACUUCUAAUAUUAUUGUAAUCAGAUUGUCAUGAACAUAUGAACAAUACUUAAAAUUCAUAUUCUCAUUCAAUAUGAUGUAGUUAAAGAAAGAGUGGAAGUAUUAGAUGAUGAAGUUUUAGUAGAAUCCAAUAAUGACAGCAAUACAGACAAUAUCUUCACAUUGAAAGAUGAUAUUCUAGGAGGAGAUGACGUGAUUGUGCCUAAAGUUGGUAUGAAGUUCAAAGAUGAAAAAGAGUUGUUAGAGUUUUAUAAGAGGUAUGCGUAUGACGUAGGUUUUUCGGUUAGGAGGAGGAAUUCUAGAAAGGGAGAAGAUGGAGUAGUGAAUUACGUCACGUUGACAUAUUGUUGUGAGGGUCGGAGAAGCAAUAAUGUAGGUGCUUCUUCGCAUCCAACCAUUCAGACAGGUUGCAAAGCAAGACUUACUGCUUCUUCAGAUAUUCGUGGAAUAUGGAAAAUUUGAACAGUUGAUAUCGAACACAACCAUAAAACUAGUCCUUCAAAAUCCAGAUAUAUUGCUACAAUUGGGAAUUGAGUGCAAAUGUCAAAUGCAAGGUCAAAGUGAAUGAUAUGGCUGGAAUAUCUUUACACAAGAGUUACAACUAAGCAGAUGUUGAAGUAGGUGAGUAUGAGAACAUGAAUUGCGUUGAAAAGGAUUGUCGAAAUUACAUUGAAUGAGUGAGGCAAUUGAGACUUGGUGAAGGAGAUGUCGCGGCAAUACAAUCCUAGUUAGUGCUCGGGUUUUUAAUUCUGUAUGGAUUUGGAUGAAAGAGUCCCGGCUUAGGAAUCUCUUUUGGGCAUAUAAGAGGUGUAGGCAAGCAUAUAAAGAGUUUGGGGAUGUAGUGACGUUUGAUACCACUUAUCUCACUAAUAAAUAUGACAUGCCUUUUGCCUCCUUUGUUAGUAUAAAUCAUCAUGGAUAAUCAACAGUCCUUGGAUGUGAUCUGCUGGCAAAUGAAGAUAUAGAUACAUUUGUUUAGCUAUUCAGGACUUGGAUGUAGUGCAUGUACCGAUCAAGACAGGGCCAUGUGAAAUGUAAUUGAGAUAAUCUUUUCAAACAAGAGGUAUAGAUGGUGUUUGUGACAUAUAUUAAAGAAGUUGCCGGAGAAGUUUGGGUACCACGUUCAGAAGGGCUCCAUUUUUUCGUCUAUAAACGACUUAGUGUAUAAUACACAAGACGUUGAAGAAUUCGAAGAAGGUUAGAAAGUUAUGCUUGAUACAUAUGACUUAUAUGAUAAUGAUUUUUUGUCGGGGUUGUUUAAGAACAGGGGUUGUUAGGUGCCAUGUUAUUUGACAAUAAGUUUUUGGGCGGGAAUGUCAACAACUCCGUGUAGUGAGAGUAUAAAUAUGUUCUUCGAUGGUUAUGUCCAUUCUAAUACAUCGUUAAAAAAGUUUGUCAAACAAUAUGAACGAGCAUUAUGAAAUAAAGUUGAGAAGGAAUUUCAAGCAAAUUUCAAAUCUUACUCAUAGAUGGUACCUUGUGCAACAAAAUAUGAAAUGAAAAAGAAAUUCCAAGCUACCAUUUCUAAAUUUUGGGAAUUUCAAGAUGAGAUAACUAGGAAGGUCUAUUGCGAUGUGAUAUCUACAAGAGGUUGAGGAGAAUGUCAUUUAUGAAAAAAAAUGUUAGAAAGAAAAAGUUUUUAGUCACAUUUCGGGUAGAGGAUUGCAAUGUUAUUUGCAGUUGCCACUUAUUCGAGUUUUGUGUAAUUUUAUGUAGACAUGCCAUAUCAGUGUUAAUACGUAAUGGCGUUAUAUCACUACCGGAGAGGUACAUAUUGUGGAGAUUGAGACGAGAUGUUAAUAGAGCCCACAUGAUGAUCAUUGUGAAUUACGAUAGUCUGGAUAGCACUCCUAGCCAGUUGAGGUAUGAUAGAAUGUGUGAAGUGUUUGCUACGUUGGCAGACAUUUUGCUACUAAUGACGAAGAGCGAACUAGUACGAUAAUAGAGUGGAUUCGAUUGCAGUCCAAAGACAUGAUGUCUACGAAGACGAGGUGAGGAAGUAAUAGUAUUUCGCAGCCUAGUUUGCAUUUAGUUCCCAGUCUAGAGCAUCACGUGACACUGGCAGUGGUACCAUACAAGAUCCUAAAUGUUCAAAAAGAAAGGGUGAAUCGAAGAAACUUUAUCAUAAAAGCUCAUUGAAGUCGAGUUCGAAGAAAAUAAAUGUUAUUUUUCUUUUACACAUAUCAUACAUUCAUUUGAACAAAUAUCAAAUGUCAAUUAUUCCCUUGUCAUGCAGGCAGCAUCAACUUCCAGUAAAGGAUAGAGAUCAAGAGCGGCGAAAAGCAAUCUUUGACCUAACACACCUAUCCUUUAGUCCUCGUCACAUGCACAAUAUUCGAUGCUGACACAAUUCUCAAAUUCACAAGUCAUAUUUGUAAGUAUUUAUCGUUGGUAAAUGUAUUGGAGGCAUGUUUCUAAUUAAAUUUUCAUUUCAUGCAGAGCGACGAGUAACGUCAUGCACUAACACAACAAUUGCCAUCUACAAAUUUUAUUCCCGCAUCAACAUCAAAUGUUUUGUUCAAAUAUCCUUGUGUGAGUAUAUGGUUUCAAAUGUGUAUUUAGCAUGUAAGAAAAUGUGAAUUUAGCAUCUUCCCAAAUUUUUUAUGUUUAUGUUAGGUAAUACAAUGUCAUACUACUAUCCCGAUUUGUCAUACAAUGUUGAAGCACAAUUGGGAAUAAGACCAUCCGCAAUGGGCCUUUUUCCCUCUUGGAUUUCAUGGUGUAAGUGGUGUAUUUUUUCUCCUUAAACACAGUUAAUUUCAUAUGGUUCUCCAAUUUACUUGUAAUAAUAAUAUGCUAAACGUCAUUUAAGACAUUAACUUCACCAACCAACAUAGCAGAUUGGAUGUCUAGUGCCGCCCAUACCAUUCUGCAUAUUGCUAUUGUGGAAGGUCCUUCUAUUCUUGUUCAGAAUCCAAGUUUAGGAAUUUCUCAUCAAGAUCCUAUAAGUGAUAGUGCAAUGACCUUUCAACAUGCUAGUUCAUCAAGGGGACUACUAUUUAAUUUCUAUAAUGUAACUCAAUAGGAAGGUGUCCCUUUUUUUCCCCAAAAUUUGAUGUCAAGGAAUGUGGUCAGACGUGCUUCUCUCUUUCUCUGUGUAGAAGUAUUGUUUGGAAUUUUCCCUUCAAUCUUGUGGUUUUAGAUGUAUUUUCUUUUGGUUUUUGAACUUUUGGGAUAAACAAAAAAUGCAAUGUAAUGAACUGUGGCGACAUUGGAAGGAUCGAGAAUCAAUUGUUGUUUGAAGAUAG